UAUGCAACAUUACUGUCAUGUCUUUCUUUUAGCUAGAAAUGUAUUUUAAUCAGCGCUAAUUUUCUGUUAGCAUUAGCUUUACUGACAUUAGCUGUUAGCCUGCUAGCUAGCGAAUGAAAUGGCUAACCAAAAGCUACAACCUAGGUUAAGUCGAAUGCAUAGCUAACGUUAGUUUACUGUAGAGACACUUCACCGCUAUGAGUGGGAUGUUUUACCAAAAAGAUUUUUAAAAAAAUCAAAACCUUUUGAGUGGACAUUUGGACACUUGGAACAGGAUAAUUUUGUACAUUUAAUGAUAGCUAUACACAACAGAUUAAGCACUUUGGAUACAUUUUGAUUUUGGCAUUUUAAAUUAAUGUUAUUAUUCAUAUUUAUGAUAUAGAAUUUGAUGCUGUUUAUUGAAUAUUUCAAUUAUAAUGUGAUGCUUAUUUUUAGUCAGUCCUUCAGUUGAUAGUUGAACUAUUGGUACUUAGACAAUUGGUUCUCAAACCUUUUCAAAUUGAUAAGUAAGAAGCUGUGGACCCCCAUUUGAUAAGAUUUUUGUACCUGGGACCCCUAUGAGAGGAGAGUUGUUAGAUAUGAUUUAGCAGAGAAACUGUCUAUAAUGUAGGUGGGAAGAUAACUGUGGCGAGUGAACCCUCUGAUCAGAAUAGUCAUUCUUUCACAUUGUGUUAACUUCUAAUGAAUAGAAUAUUAGUAAAAUUGAACUACUCCCCGCUGGAACCCCCUCAAGGAUCUCUGGGGGUCCUCGGACCCCACAUUGAGAACCAAUGACUUAGACCAAUCUAAAUCACCCUUGAAAGCAGUCAUUUUAUUUUUGUUUGUUUAAUAUUCCAGGGGAAAGUCCAAAAUUUGUCUCGUGGGUCCAACAAUUUCAUCCUAGAGGUGUAAGCCACGUCAGUGAGGGAGGAGGCCAUGUAAGAGGCCAGAAUGAGACCUACUCACUGUUGGGUAGAUAUUCAAACCUGAUCAGCUGUGCGUAGGAAAAAUAUAGUGUACACAACUCAAAGGUCUAAGCACACCUGAGGGUUCCACUGUUGGCCAACUACCUGAACCUGAUCAGAUGAGGACAUG